UCCGGUUUAACACCGGCAGUCUCCUUAGAGUGCCCAACUGAAUGGUGGCAACUAAGAAUAAGGGUUGCGCUCGUUAAGGGACUUAACCCGACAUCUCACGAUACGAGCUGACGACAGCCAUGCAGCACCUGUCUCUCUGCCCCCGAAGGGGAAACCGUAUCUCUACGGCGAUCAGAGGAUGUCAAAUCCAGGUAAGGUUCUUCGCGUUGCAUCGAAUUAAACCACAUGCUCCACCGCUUGUGCGGGCCCCCGUCAAUUCCUUUGAGUUUUAAUCUUGCGACCGUACUUCCCAGGCGGGGUACUUAAUGCGUUAGCUGCGAUACUGUAGGGGUCAAUUCCCACAACAUCUAGUACCCAUCGUUUACGGCGUGGACUAC
rnacentral:misc_RNA from 1 species